AUUGAACGCUGGCGGCAUGCCUUACACAUGCAAGUCGAACGGCAGCACGGGAGCAAUCCUGGUGGCGAGUGGCGAACGGGUGAGUAAAGUAUCGGAACGUGCCCAGUCGUGGGGGAUAACGUAGCGAAAGUUACGCUAAUACCGCAUACGAUCUAUGGAUGAAAGCGGGGGAUCGCAAGACCUUGCGCGAUUGGAGCGGCCGAUAUCAGAUUAGGUAGUUGGUGGGGUAAAGGCUCACCAAGCCGACGAUCUGUAGCUGGUCUGAGAGGACGACCAGCCACACUGGGACUGAGACACGGCCCAGACUCCUACGGGAGGCAGCAGUGGGGAAUUUUGGACAAUGGGCGAAAGCCUGAUCCAGCCAUGCCGCGUGCAGGAUGAAGGCCUUCGGGUUGUAAACUGCUUUUGUACGGAACGAAAAGGUUUGGCCUAAUAAGCUGAGCUCAUGACGGUACCGCAAGAAUAAGCACCGGCUAACUACGUGCCAGCCGCCGCGGUAA
rnacentral:rRNA from 1 species